UACGUAGGAUGCAAGCGUUGUCCGGAAUUAUUGGGCGUAAAGAGCGCGCAGGCGGUUUUACAAGUCAGAUGUGAAAGAGGCCGGCUUAACCGGCAAGGGUCAUUUGAAACUGUAAGACUAGAGUGCAGCAGAGGAUAGCGGAAUUCCCGGUGUAGUGGUGAAAUGCGUAGAUAUCGGGAGGAACACCAGUGGCGAAGGCGGCUAUCUGGGCUGCAACUGACGCUGAGGCGCGAAGGCUAGGGUAGCAAACAGG
rnacentral:rRNA from 1 species